UAGUGAACCGCGUUGGCCAGCUGCCUCUGUCUGAUCCUGGCCAGCUCGUCCCUCCUGGCCGGAGACAGCGUGCGGUUGAAGGGGUUCUGAGUGGGACUCUCUGUGUGACAGCAUGACAGUGAGAAGAGCGUUUUAGGCGACAGGCAGAGGGGCUUGACCACCUUGUGAGUGCCCUCACACCAGUAAGAGGUGCAGAGAGCCAGGAUGGAGAGGGCCAGAGCCAGAGUGGUCAAGGUCAGGGAGAGCAGGGAGCGAGAGCGGCGGGACAUACGCUCCAGCAUGGCCACACAGGAGGAGAGGGGGGCAGGGGGAGGCCUGAGAGAGAAAGAUGGGGGAGAGCAGGGGGAUACUGCACGUGGAAACAAGACAAUUGGAACAAAAGUAUUCCUCCUCCAAGAUGAGCAUCAGUGACCCUUACCUCUGCAGCUGCGCUCCCCGUUUUAAUCCUCCAGGCCAAGAGUCGAACAUGCACGACCGGUGGAGUGACUGAGCGUCUGUCUCCAAGUCCCUCUAGCUCUC